UGAACUUUGCAAGAAAUUUCGCAUGAGGUUAAAUCCUUUUUGCUGGUUGCUCAGAUCAAACUAGCAACAGAGUCACACCUCAAGAUUCCCUUCUAUUACAAGGGCUUACUUGAUUGGUUAUCAGUUGAAGGCUGCUGAUCUUGAUGUGGUUUGUUUGUGAUGGUUCAACACAUUAUGCUUAUUAUGAAGUCGGGAAUCCCAGCAGGCUUUUGUAUUCCUGAGAUUGCUCCAUUUUCAAAAGAAUGUGAAUCUGUCUCCGUUGUUUGUCUGAGCUCGACAUAGAAAAUGAUAGAUCAUAGUCACUUGAUCAACAUUUUCUUCCACUAUCUUUAAAAUUUUUAUUAUCUUUAUUCUCAUUGUUAUCAGUGUUGUCCACAGCAUUUUAUCGAAACUACAUUUGAAUGGCAUGCCAAAAGACUGAAUAAGACUCAUCCAUCAGCAAAACGCGAUGAGCGUGACAGAACAAGCCAUACACAUUUGGUAUCACUCUCCAGUGCCUAUUAAUGCUCUGGAAAAUUUCUUAUGAAAGACAAUAGGGAGUUCCUGGGCUCGUCUCUUCAGCAUUAAUUGAAUCAAUGUGAUAGGUUUCUUUGGCAUAUAUGGAACAAACAAAAGACAUUUCAUGUUCUUACAGACAGCAAGACAGAAUUCUCAUCAUGUUGUUAUGAUUAGUUGCUAUUACUUCUCCAGUCACUGUGUUGCUGUUGAGAAGGGGACCAAAAACAACAAAUUUGCAGCUAAUCGGUGUCUCGUAUAGACAUUAAUGCAGGGUAAAUUUCGAAUUAGCCGG
rnacentral:lncRNA from 1 species